rnacentral:rRNA from 2 species
GUCGAACGAACUCUGGUAUUGAUUGGUGCUUGCAUCAUGAUUUACAUUUGAGUGAGUGGCGAACUGGUGAGUAACACGUGGGAAACCUGCCCAGAAGCGGGGGAUAACACCUGGAAACAGAUGCUAAUACCGCAUAACAACUUGGACCGCAUGGUCCGAGCUUGAAAGAUGGCUUCGGCUAUCACUUUUGGAUGGUCCCGCGGCGUAUUAGCUAGAUGGUGGGGUAACGGCUCACCAUGGCAAUGAUACGUAGCCGACCUGAGAGGGUAAUCGGCCACAUUGGGACUGAGACACGGCCCAAACUCCUACGGGAGGCAGCAGUAGGGAAUCUUCCACAAUGGACGAAAGUCUGAUGGAGCAACGCCGCGUGAGUGAAGAAGGGUUUCGGCUCGUAAAACUCUGUUGUUAAAGAAGAACAUAUCUGAGAGUAACUGUUCAGGUAUUGACGGUAUUUAACCAGAAAGCCACGGCUAACUACGUGCCAGCAGCCGCGGUAAUACGUAGGUGGCAAGCGUUGUCCGGAUUUAUUGGGCGUAAAGCGAGCGCAGGCGGUUUUUUAAGUCUGAUGUGAAAGCCUUCGGCUCAACCGAAGAAGUGCAUCGGAAACUGGGAAACUUGAGUGCAGAAGAGGACAGUGGAACUCCAUGUGUAGCGGUGAAAUGCGUAGAUAUAUGGAAGAACACCAGUGGCGAAGGCGGCUGUCUGGUCUGUAACUGACGCUGAGGCUCGAAAGUAUGGGUAGCAAACAGGAUUAGAUACCCUGGUAGUCCAUACCGUAAACGAUGAAUGCUAAGUGUUGGAGGGUUUCCGCCCUUCAGUGCUGCAGCUAACGCAUUAAGCAUUCCGCCUGGGGAGUACGGCCGCAAGGCUGAAACUCAAAGGAAUUGACGGGGGCCCGCACAAGCGGUGGAGCAUGUGGUUUAAUUCGAAGCUACGCGAAGAACCUUACCAGGUCUUGACAUACUAUGCAAAUCUA